GGGAGCUGGGGCAGGGGUGGGGUAGGGUGGGGCAUCUUGGAGCGGAGGUCGAGUCACCGCUCCGCCAUCGGAUCUAUACGGGGAGAGAGAGGCACGUAGACGCGGGCGGGGCAAAGAGAUACCGGCGGCAAACGCCUACUGGUCAGAGCUUGGCCGACUUGUCCGAAGAAGUUCUGAUUGGCCAACGGCCGAAAACACCGCCCCUCAAGCUAGAUCCCGGUGGACACAAUCCCUCCCUUCGCAUUCCCGAGAUUCUGCCCUCCCAGUUAGCACUUUUCGCAAUUCUCUGGAGCGCUGCCCUGCGGCCGAUCCCGUUUCCGGUUGGAAGACUCUUGAGACCCUGCUAUGUGCCAAGUGUGACCCAGUGACCCUUCGGCCCAAAGAACUCGAGCUGCAGACUCACAGCCUGGGCUGAGAUUGUUACCGCCUUACCAGAGAGUCUUGACAACAAGAAUACAGGCAACUCUCCAGAGGUGCUUCCUCAUUCCCAACCCACUCCAAAUUGCUAUUUCAGAUUCCUGCAGUGCUCUUCCCACACUCAGACCUGCAAUUACUUGGGUAAAGUCAAAUGUCCCAGUGCUAUCUCCUAUCUCUUAUCGAUAGAUCAGUCCCUCUACUCAAUUCCUAGCCAAAUUUCCAUGAGCCAGGGAGGAAUCUUAAAGAAACUUUCUCCCUUGACAGCUAGAGAGGCCCACAGAGGAAGGCACCCUGUAACUCUGGAAGCAGUCCCAUUUAACCUGUAAUUUGAGAGGCCAAAUUUCCUUUUCCCUUUAUCUCUGUUCCAAUGGGGGCCCCUGAGUAAACACACAGGGCCCUCAUCGAGAGUCUGCCCUGGGCAGUAACCCCAGGCAUAUGACAGAACCUACCUUUUAUCUCAGACUGCACUAAUGGAACUGGUUCCAGUCUGUCCUGCCACCUGCAUUCUACAGCCAUUUCCCCAUAUGCCAUCUUCCCCUAGACAGGGCUGAGGUGGUUGAUGACUGACACCAGAAGAACACUGUGAUGGAGUAAAAGGGAAAAAAACUGGGUGCUUUAUCACCCCCAGACAAUCAUAUUGGAACUACUGGUCUUCGUGGCUUGUCACAAAUAGUUUACCGGGGUGGGGAACCUGUGGCCUGGAGGCCACAAACUGCUUUGAGUGGGAUCUGUAUUCUUUGUAUUUGUAUCCUCAACACCUAGCUAACAUAAUGACUCUGGAACGAUAAUAAUAAAUCAUUUUGAUUGGGA